rnacentral:rRNA from 1 species
CCUACGGGGUGCAGCAGUGGGGAAUAUUGCACAAUGGGGGAAACCCUGAUGCAGCGAAGCCGCGUGAGUGAGGAAGUUUUUCGGUAUGUAAAGCUCUAUCAGCAGGGAAGAAAAUGACGGUACCUGACUAAGAAGCCACGGCUAACUAAGGGACAGCAGCCGCGGUCAUACGGAGGGGGCAAGCGGUAGCCGGAUUUACUGGGUGUAAAGGGAGCGUAGACGGCUAAUCAAGUCAGAAGUGAAAACCCAGGGCUCAACUUUGGGACUGCUUUUGAAAAUGAGGAGAUAGAGUGCAGGAGAGGUAAGCGGAAUGCCUAGUGUAGCGGUGAAAUGCGUAGAUAUUAGGAGGAACACCAGUGGCGAAGGCGGCUUACUGGACUGUAACUGACGUUGAGGCUCGAAAGCGUGGGGAGCAAACAGGAUUAGAUACCCUAGUAGUC